AUGACGAGUGACACUCCCUACCUUGUCUCAAAAUACGGCUGGUCUAGCACUCGUGACGUCGGCAUGUCGGAUAACCAUCAUACUCCUAUCUGGCGAGACUUCGUCAAAGGGGUCGAAUUAUUCAGAUCACUCACCAUGGUGCACCUCGGAAACGGAGUCACUACCUCGUUCUGGCUAGAUCUUUGGCUCCCUCAGUCCACCCAAACCCUAGCGCAACAAUUCCCGGCACUAUUUUCCCACUCCAACAGAAUUCACACUUCUGUGGCUCGUGCUCUGGACUCGAACGACCUAACCUUGGACCUAACCCCAAGAUUGUCUCACACGGCUGCAUGCGAGCUAAUUGAACUCCGCAAUAUGUUGGCUACGAUAAACUUGAAUCUGCAGGUCGUUGACAGAAGAAUCUCGAGGGAAGCAGGCAAGCCGCUAACCACUAAGCUGGCAUAUCAGGCAGUAUGGAAGACGAAACCCACAGACACUCUAGCUCCGGCAAUCUGGAGAAACUACGCGCCAAAUAAAUGCAGGAUCUUCCUCUGGCUCGCCUGCAAAAACCGCCUGUUCACAAACGAGAGACGCUUCAAACGGGGCAUUGCCACAUCCGCCACCUGCCCUUUCUGCAACUGUUGCGAGUCCAUCGAGCACCUUCUUUUCGAAUGCCAACAACUCAGUCCGCUUUGGGUUGAGCUCGACAGCCUCUGCCAUGGUACGCUAGAGGAUCUGCUUCAGGCCUGGGACGGUGAAUUAAACAACAAAUGCAGAUCUACGGUGCUGCUGGCCGUCCUCUGGAAUAUUUGGAAAAGGCGGAACGCCAAGGUUUUCUGGAAUUUACACCUCGAGCUCCACACUAUUGCUAGCUCCGCUGCUGAUGAUCUUCGGCUCUGGUCUCACCGAUGUAAAAAUAUUCAAAAACAAAUUAGCCUCCGUGACUGGGGCUCCAUGUUGUUCCACCUAGCCGGGAGAUUAUAA
rnacentral:rRNA from 1 species